UAAUUUUCACCUUUUUCAUGCCCAAUCAAAUAACUUUUGCAUCGUCAUGCCUGUUAGUCUAGCCUUUCUUCAUAAUAACGGUUUGAGAGUUUCAAGGAAAGCAAUUGAACCAACCAUUUGAUCUGUCAUUUCCUCUUUCCUGUCUUCCACUACAAUCCCAUCCACCUAUCAGACUAUUCAUCUUCAAGCCACUCUCAUAAACCAAGGAAAGUUUUUACUUUACCAGCCAUUUCAAAACUUCUCUCUUCCUCUUUUCAUCUACCCCCUUUCUCAAUCUGGUUAACACAAUCUGUCUUUAUCUUUCUGGCUAUCAGCAUAUCCUGGUGCACUUUCGAUCAGGUAAAACAUCUCCUUCCUCUUCAACAUUUCAGUAGCUAAAAUAUAAGCUAGGUGAUUCGCAGAUCUGUGGGUGUAUUCAAAGAUAAAAAUUUUAGAUCUGAGUAAAAGCUAUUGAAUAUCUUGAAUGUAUGCCCCUAUCUGUGAUUUAUCCUAUUCUUUUGUUUUGCAUUUUUUGAUUACUGUUAAUGAGUCACCUUCUACAAUAAUCUGUGGCCAUUGCAUGUUUAUGCCAAUUUGAACUGCUUUGCGGCAAGCGAGAGCCUCAGCCGCAAAAGCUGAGGGGAUUUCUUGAUGGAUCUCUGAGCUAGAUAGUAGAACUACUCCUUUGCUAUUCCUUGCUACGAUCCCUGAAGCUAAUAGGCAGAGCCAUGUAUCAUAAGCCCCAUCAAAAUUUAUUUUGAUUGACUGUUCAGAUUGACCAUAGAGCACAACAGAAAAGUCUACAAUGGAAAUAAGUGUUUUGAUCCAAAAUCCAGGACACUCAUGUAUCAGAUGGGCCAUAGUUUCUGCUCCGCUUCCGCAACGGGGGCAUAUUACAGUAGUUGAUAACUUUCUAUGCUGCAUAUUGGCUUGUGUAGCCAGAUAAUUCCAAGAGAUUUUCCAAACUGUAAUCUUAAUUUUAGAAGGUAGCUUAAGUAGCCAUAGUUUUUUUUGUAGAAAUUACUGUAGUCGGUAUGUAAAGCAUGAGCUCUAGUAUCAUUUUCAGAAGCUUGUAAUAGUUUAUAGGCGCUGCGCACUAAGUACUCCCCCGAGGGCUCUCCACACCAGGCCAUAAAGUCGUCAUGAGGAUCCUUCGCCAGCGGGAUACUAAGUAUCUUCCCAGCAAUUUCCUCCGAGAAGGAUUCGCCAUAUAUCUGCUAACUGCACUAAUUGCAUAUGAUUAAUCUGGACGUGAACAAAUCAUAACAUACAUGAGAGAUCCCACUGCACUAGAGUAUGAAACAUGUGACAUGUACUCAAUCUCAUCAUCUGAUUGUGGAGACAAAGUCUGAAAUGGGUUGCUAAAGGAGUACUAACAGGCUUAGCACUCUAUAUAUUGAACCUGCAAAGAACUUUCUCAAUGUACUCCUUCUGACUUAGGUACAAUUUACUUGCUUUUGUAUCUCUGAGAAUCUUCAUACCAAGUAUCUUAUUUGUUGGUCCCAAA